rnacentral:lncRNA from 1 species
ACUCUGGACUCACAGUCGUGGCUGCCUCUUGCUCCGCCAGGGCCACCCGCCCAGGAGAAGCGGGAUUCUUCCGUGGAGCUGGCAAAGCGACCCUGGGAGAGGACCCUGUCUGGUGUGAGUCCCCUGCAGAGCCUGAAGCGCUCUUUCCGCACUUCCCGUUUCCGGGGACCUCUAGUCCACACGAGCCAUCUCCUCGGGUGGUGGCGCCUGGAACCAGAAAACAACCGCUUUGGGAAGAUGGAAGAUGUCUCCUCAGGCCCUGGAGUCACCCUGACUGGGGUGGCCCUUACCCUGGUCCAAGUAGCUUAGGAGGCCUUUUUCCCUCUAUCUGUCCUUCCCAUUCCAGACGAUCCCCACCACCACCACCGUUCAUCCGGUGCUGCCCAAUCCCCAGUACCACGUAUUUCUGCUGUGCUGGUAACCAAGUGAGAAAAUGAAGAUUUAAACCGGCUCAUUGUUCAAGGCCAGCCUGGACUACAUGGUGAGGCCCUGUCUCAAAAAAAAAGUUCCAGAGUCCAGAAGUUCAGAAUCGGUAUCAUCACUGCGCAGAAGUCAGAUAUCAUCAGGCUCCAGGGGAGAAUCGUUUCCUCACCUUGCCCCCACCGGGCUUCCGGGGUCUGCGGCGGUUCAUCACUCCAGACAUCAAAGCCAGCAUCUUCAAAUCACUCUGCUCUGCCUUCAUGUUGCCUUCGCCUCUGUGUCACACCUCACUCUGCUUCUCUCUGACAAGGACACUGUGAUGCUACUUAGAUCCCACCUGGGGAUCUAAUCCAAUGGCAAAAAAGAUUCACUUAUCUGCUAGCUGCCCUUCCAGGCCUUGUGGAAUAGGAUCUGGAAGCAGAAUAGCAGUGUGAGAGAGAAGAGCGCAGCAGGGCUGAGGCCUGGUGAGAGCGCUCAUCCAAGGGACUCAGCAGCCCUGCUGGGCUUUAGGGGUGUGGGAUGGACACUUAGGACACUCACUGGAUGCUGUUCUAGGAGAGGGGUCAGCAAAUACAGACCACAGAGUGGCUGCCUGGUUUUGUAAAUAAAAGUCUCACUGGAAGACAGAUGUGCUGUUUGCUUCCAGACUGUGUCUAUGGUUUCUUUUGAGCAGAGUUGAAUAAACG